GAAUAUUGGACAAUGGGCGAAAGCCUGAUCCAGCCAUGCCGCGUGUGUGAAGAAGGUCUUCGGAUUGUAAAGCACUUUAAGUUGGGGGGAAGGGCAGUAAGUUAAUACCUUGCUGUUUUGACGUUACCGACAGAAUAAGCACCGGCAAACUCUGUGCCAGCAGCCGCGGUAAUACAGAGGGUGCAAGCGUUAAUCGGAAUUACUGGGCGUCAAGCGCGCGUAGGUGGCUAAGUAAGAUGGGUGUGAAAUCCCCGGGCUCAACCUGGGAACUGCAUCCAUAACUGCUUGGCUAGAGUACGGUAGAGGGUAGUGGAAUUUCCUGUGUAGCGGUGAAAUGCGUAGAUAUAGGAAGGAACACCAGUGGCGAAGGCGACUACCUGGACUGAUACUGACACUGAGGUGCGAAAGCGUGGGGAGCAAACAGG
rnacentral:rRNA from 1 species